rnacentral:lncRNA from 1 species
GUAGGUGUGAGUCAGAGAUGUUUCCCCGUGCUCAAUUUUGCUAGCUAGCUCUGUGCAGGGCAGGAGUGACAGGCAUAUUGAGAAUGUAGGUUCUACCUUGGGCAUCAUCUCUACUGCAUUGAAGAGGGCUGCAUUUGGAGUUGGAAAACUUGGAUUCCGAUCACUGGAGCUGCUGCUGGAUGUUGGGACUCAGCCCUGGAAAUUUUGAAUAAUUACACACUGCUGCCCCAGGAAGAAUCUUGGUGGAUUGAGAGACAAUGGACAAAGACAUCAAGAUACUCUUCUGACUGGAGCUAGGGGAAAUACUCCUUCAGCUGCUUGUGGUAUGAAGAAGAAGGAGGAGGAGGAGGAGAGGAAGAAGAAGAGGGAGGAGAGGAAGAGGAAGUAGGAGGAGAGAAGAAGAAGAAAAAGAAGGAGAAGAGGAAAAUGAGAAGAAGAGGAAAAAGGAGAGGAGAGGAAGAAGGAGGAGAGGAGAGUAAGAGGAAGGAGGAGAAGAAGAAGAUGAUAAUGAUAAUGAUGGCAGC